AGGGGGAAUUCAGGCUCACUCCAAGACUCUCUCCUGGAUCUUGGUGUGCUAUUUGCUAUCUGUGGCAAGGUGGGUGGACUGCAUGGCUAGGCCCUGCUCAUUUCCCCACCAGUUGUAAUCUGAAGGGAUGGCGGGCUGACGAACUCAUGAACCAUUCCAUUUCAGGUGGUUGGCCUCAGGCUGGGGUUCGUUUGAGCCCAUGGCAGCAUCAGUGAAACCAAAAAGUUCGGCAGGAGGCAACCAUGGAUGUCCUGUGGCUCAUUUCUCGGCUGGCUGGCUAGAGACUGUAGUGCUUCAUGCACAAUGAGGGCUGUAUGCAGGCUGUGGAGAGCAGGAGCACUCGGCCGGAG
rnacentral:lncRNA from 1 species